UGAGCACAAACACGAGCCACCCGUUACCUGUUUCUACGAAAACUGUUUCCUUCCCUCCUCCCCAACUGUCUUUCUGUCCCACACUUGUCCCUGUUCACCUGUUCUCCAUCACCACUCUGCUUCCAGGAAGUUGCAGCCACCUGCAAAAGCGGCGUAGCAUCACCUCGCGAGCUGGAUUUAACGGGCGUGGAGACGUUGUUACCCAUGUAACAUCCAUCAGCCCAGUCUCAGCGGCGAGGAAGAGCUCCAGCACCGCUCAGGUCCCUGCAAUGGAGAUACACAGGCAGAGAGGGCAUGGCAAGAGACGGAUGCACGCAGUGAACCGGGGACUCCAGGCCGCGAAGUCCGGCCCCGACGGAGGGCUUCAGAUGAGCGCUACUCAGGUGGCAGCUGGGAUGGUCAGACUGGUUGGUUUGCCCCCUGCAAACUGUCUGCUAUUGGUCCGCAAAACUUGAGAGCAAGCAUUUGGAAACCUCAAAGUAAAUUUGUCCUUGCUGUGACACCCAAGCAAGUUGUCAAUAAGCUCAUCUCCUUGAACAGGGUCUAGACCGAUUCGGAUGUUGUCAGACUCACAAGGUGAAUCGCGCGGCGCGGCCUGCUCAGAAGGACACAGGCCAGUCUGCCUGGAACUGGAAAAUCCCCACCGUCCUCCCACAGCUGGUCUGAGAAGACUGCAAGAGCUGGAGCAGAGGGCGCCGCGCUGGGUCCUCAGGGAUGGCUUAGCUCGUGGGGGCGGUAAAGAGGACAAAAAAGCCCAGAGAGGCUGUGUAACCUGCCAAAGGUCACCCAUCCAGGAAGCGGCAGAGUCGGCGGCGAUCCUGUCAGUUUUAAGGAUGGUACCCCCCCUUGAGGGCGCACACGAGUGCCUCCACUCCUGAGCAAAACGUCUCACAGCCCAUCAGCAGCGUAUACUGCCAAGCCGUGGGCCUGGUCUUAGCGAGAAAGGACCCUAAAGGCUGCCCCUCUGCCGCCCAGAGAGAGCAGUAGGAUUCAACGCGGACUGAAAGACAAGAUACCGUGGAGAAGACACGAAUCCUGGCACCCUGGGCCCCCUCUGCCUUGCCCUGCUCCUCCUGCCCUGAAACUGGCAAAACCAGUGCGAAGGAGGGAACCCCGGGCUGCCAUCAAGGCUCCCCACGGUCCUCCCUGGGGGCUAAAGCACCUGUACCCGCGCCUUGAGACCCCCCUAGCUUCUAAGAAGUUUCUUGCCCCUUUGUCUCCUCAGCCUGGAUCCUAACCUUGCGCUGGCGAUUUUCUCCCCAGCUCUGCCCGGAAUCCCUCAUGAAGCAACACGCUGCCGUCCUG